ACUGUUGUUGGUACCAGCAAGAGAAGCUUCUUCCUCCUGCAAAUUUCCUCCAGCGCCUUCUCCUAAGAAAGCUUAAUAUUGUUCUCACUGUAAAGGAGAAACACUAAAAGUAUGUCUGUCCUUUUUUACAGAGUAAGGGUAUGAAGGUAUUUCUGGAGCUGAAAGUCAACAAAUUGAGAACUGGCACACACACCCCAAAAUAUUUCUGUGCUAGAUACAUCUUCCUACAGAUACUUUAAAAAGCUUCAAAAAACCAACAACAAAAAAACAGGUGACAGCCUUUUCAGUCUUUGGCACAAGACAAGGAUGGCCACUCCCACCACUCCUAUUCAACAUAGUACUGGAAAGUUCCAACCAGAGCAAUCAGGCCAAAGAAAGAAAUAAAAGACAUCCAAAUUGAAAGAGAGGAAAUCAAAUUAUCCCUAUUUUCAAAUGAUGUAAGCUUAUAUUUAGAAAACUUUAAAAACUUCAUCAAAAACCUUUAGAUCUGAAAAAAAAUUUCAAAAUUUCAGGAUAAAAAAGUCAACAUACAAAAAUCAGUAGUGUUUCUGUGCACUAAUAACAAACUGCUGAAAAAAGAAUUAAGAAGGCAAUCCCAUUUAUAAUCACUACAAACAAACAUACCUAGGAACAAAUUUAACCAAAAAUGUGAAAGUCUUAUACAAAGAAAGCUACAAAACACUAAUGAAAGAAAUUGAAGAGGACAUCAACAAAUAGAACGAUAUUCUAUGCUCCUGGGUCAGAAGAAUUAAUAUCAUUAAAAUAACCAUGCUGUCUAAAGCAAUAUUCAGAUUGAAUACCACCCAUAUUAAAAUACCAAUGCCAUUUUUCAAAGAGAGAGAAAAAACAUCUUAAAAUUUUUACCAAAUCCAAAAAGAACCUGAAUAGCCAAAACAAUCCUGAGCAAAAAGAGAAAAGCUGAAGGUAUCACCCUCCCUGACUUCAAAUAUAUUCCAAAGCUAUAAUAACCAAAACAGCAUAAUAUUGGCACAAAAACAGGCAGAUAGACUCAUGGAAUAUAACAGAAAGCCCAGAAGUAAGUCCAUGUGUUUACAGCCAACUGAUCUUCUACAAAGGCACCAAAAACAUACAUUGCGGAAAUGACACCCUUUUCAAUUAAUGGUGCUGGAAAAAGUUGAUAUCCAUAUGCAGACGAAUGAAACUAGCUCUCCUAUCUCUCACCAUUUACACAAAAUGAAUUAAAGACUUAAAUGUAAGACCUGAAGCUUCAAAACUACUAGAAGAAAAUGGAAAACGUUUCAGGACAUUGGUCCAGGCAAAUAUUUUAUGGCUAAGA
rnacentral:lncRNA from 10 species